CGUGCCUAAUAUUUGCAAGUCGAGCGGACAGAUGGGAGCUUGCUCCCUGAUGUUAGCGGCGGACGGGUGAGUAACACGUGGGUAACCUGCCUGUAAGACUGGGAUAACUCCGGGAAACCGGGGCUAAUACCGGAUGGUUGUUUGAACCGCAUGGUUCAAACAUAAAAGGUGGCUUCGGCUACCACUUACAGAUGGACCCGCGGCGCAUUAACUAGUUGGUGAGGUAACGGCUCACCAAGGCGACGAUGCGUAGCCGACCUGAGAGGGUGAUCGGCCAUUUUGUGACUGAGACACGGCCCAUACUCCUACGGGAGGCAGCAGUAGGGAAUCUUCCGCAAUGGACGAAAGUCUGACGGAGCAACGCCGCGUGAGUGAUGAAGGUUUUCGGAUCGUAAAGCUCUGUUGUUAGGGAAGAACAAGUGCCGUUUCAAAUAGGGCGGCACCUUGACGGUACCUUAACCAAAAAGGCCACAGCUUACUACGUGCCCAGCAGCCGGGGUAAUACUUAGGUGGCAAGCGUUGGCCCGAAGUAUUGGGCCGUAAAGGGCUCCCAGGCGGUU
rnacentral:rRNA from 1 species